GUGCUCCCUUCCGCAGCAUAGGCACUAACAUUGGAAAGAUACAGAGAAGAUGGCCAGGCCCUGCACAAGGACAACAGGCAUUCUUAUUUUAAAAAAAUAAUCAAU
ensembl:snRNA U6 U6 spliceosomal RNA